rnacentral:rRNA from 1 species
CCUACGGGAGGCAGCAGUGGGGAAUAUUGGUCAAUGGACGGAAGUCUGAACCAGCCAUGCCGCGUGCAGGAAGACGGCUCUAUGAGUUGUAAACUGCUUUUGUACAAGGGUAAACCUGAAUACGUGUAUUCAGCUGAAAGUACUGUACGAAUAAGGAUCGGCUAACUCCGUGCCAGCAGCCGCGGUAAUACGGAGGAUCCAAGCGUUAUCCGGAUUUAUUGGGUUUAAAGGGUGCGUAGGCGGAUUGAUAAGUUAGAGGUGAAAUGUCCGAGCUUAACUCGGGAACUGCCUCUAAUACUGUUGGUCUAGAGAGUAGAUGCGGUAGGCGGAAUGUAUGGUGUAGCGGUGAAAUGCUUAGAGAUCAUACAGAACACCGAUUGCGAAGGCAGCUUACCAAUCUAUAUCUGACGUUGAGGCACGAAAGCGUGGGGAGCAAACAGGAUUAGAUACCCCUGUAGUC